AGAGUUUGAUCAUGGCUCAGAACGAACGCUGGCGGCAGGCCUAAUACAUGCAAGUCGAGCGCCCCGCCUUUAAAUGGCUCGAAUGAACGAAGAGCCAUUUAAUGGCGGGGAGCGGCGGGCGGGUGAGUAACACGUGGGAACAUGCCCUUCGGUACGGAACAACUCAGGGAAACUUGAGCUAAUACCGUAUGCUCCGGAAACGGCAAAGAUUUAUCGCCGAAGGAUUGGCCCGCGUCCGAUUAGCUAGUUGGUGAGGUAACGGCCCACCAAGGCACCGAUCGGUAGCUGGUUUGAGAGAACGACCAGCCACACUGGGACUGAGACACGGCCCAGACUCCUACGGGAGGCAGCAGUAGGGAAUCUUGGACAAUGGGGGAAACCCUGAUCCAGCCAUGCCGCGUGAGUGAUGAAGGCCUUCGGGUUGUAAAACUCUUUCGGCGGGGACGAUAAUGACGGUACCCGCAGAAGAAGCUCCGGCUAACUUCGUGCCAGCAGCCGCGGUAAUACGAAGGGGGCUAGCGUUGUUCGGAAUUACUGGGCGUAAAGCGCGCGCAGGCGGCCUUUCAAGUCAGGGGUGAAAGCCCGGAGCUCAACUCCGGAAUUGCCUUUGAAACUGUCAGGCUCGAGUACGGGAGAGGUGAGUGGAAUUCCCAGUGUAGAGGUGAAAUUCGUAGAUAUUGGGAAGAACACCGGUGGCGAAGGCGGCUCACUGGCCCGUUUCUGACGCUCAGGCGCGACAGCGUGGGGAUCAAACAGGAUUAGAUACCCUAGUAGUCC
rnacentral:rRNA from 1 species